GCUACCUCCCACAAGACCAAUCUUGGAGAUACCUGCAGCUUCUUGUGGGUCUGAUCGGCAUCCAUUGUAUUGGAACCCAUUGGUUACAACACGAAUCUUUACGAUGGUUGGUGGCGAAUGGCAAAGACGAAGAGGUAAAAGUUUGGAUACGUAGAGCAGCAAAAUGGAAUAAAAAGGACCCAGAACAGAUUCUGAAAAGUUUUUACACGCCAUCAAACGAAGUAGAGACACUGCUUGCGAAUUCAGAUCAUCAAAUAACAGACAGAGAUGACGACUCAAUGAAAGAAAAAUACAAUAUCCUCGACAUUAUACGAGAAAGAAGAGUUUUAUUCAUAUCUUUUAUUCUGUGGACUGCUUGUUAAACAUUGUGGUUUUUUAAAAUACAUUUCUUGAUUUUUCAUUUAAAAAUGCAAGAGAAAUUGAACACGUUGAUCUAUGUUACAUAAAAGUUGUUGUUUACCUAGGUUUGUCGUCAUUUUGUCUUAUUACGCCCUCUACUUGAUGUCCAGUAGUUUAUCAGAAAACAGAUUUCUGAAUUUCUUCCUAAAUGCUUUGGCAGAAACUCCAAGUCAAUUUGUUCUAUGGGAUCUUAUCGGAAAGAUAGGUAGAAGAUAUACAUCAAUUGGCUUUUUCGCUCUCUCAGGAUUCUUCCUCAUUGCAUCUGCACUUAUUUUGAAAUAUACAGUCAACCUUAGUGUCCUGUCGAUGAUAUUU